rnacentral:rRNA from 1 species
AUUGAACGCUGGCGGCAGGCUUAACACAUGCAAGUCGAGCGGGGAUAGGGUGCUUGCACCUGAUUCCUAGCGGCGGACGGGUGAGUAAUGCUUAGGAAUCUGCCUAUUAGUGGGGGACAACAUUCCGAAAGGGAUGCUAAUACCGCAUACGCCCUACGGGGGAAAGCAGGGGAUCUUCGGACCUUGCGCUAAUAGAUGAGCCUAAGUCGGAUUAGCUAGUUGGUGGGGUAAAGGCCUACCAAGGCGACGAUCUGUAGCGGGUCUGAGAGGAUGAUCCGCCACACUGGGACUGAGACACGGCCCAGACUCCUACGGGAGGCAGCAGUGGGGAAUAUUGGACAAUGGGCGGAAGCCUGAUCCAGCCAUGCCGCGUGUGUGAAUAAGGCCUUUUGGUUGUAAAGCACUUUAAGCGAGGAGGAGGCUCUUAAGGUUAAUACCCUUGAUGAGUGGACGUUACUCGCAGAAUAAGCACCGGCUAACUCUGUGCCAGCCGCCGCCGUAAGAC